rnacentral:rRNA from 1 species
AUUGAACGCUGGCGGCAUGCUUUACACAUGCAAGUCGAACGGCAGCGCGGGCUUCGGCCUGGCGGCGAGUGGCGAACGGGUGAGUAAUGCAUCGGAACGUGCCCAGUAGUGGGGGAUAGCCCGGCGAAAGCCGGAUUAAUACCGCAUACGACCUGAGGGUGAGAGCGGGGGACCGAAAGGCCUCGCGCUAUUGGAGCGGCCGAUGUCGGAUUAGCUAGUUGGUGGGGUAAAGGCUUACCAAGGCGACGAUCCGUAGCUGGUCUGAGAGGACGACCAGCCACACUGGGACUGAGACACGGCCCAGACUCCUACGGGAGGCAGCAGUGGGGAAUUUUGGACAAUGGGGGCAACCCUGAUCCAGCCAUGCCGCGUGCGGGAAGAAGGCCUUCGGGUUGUAAACCGCUUUUGUUCGGGAAGAAAUCCUCUGGGCUAAUACCCCGGGGGGAUGACGGUACCGAAAGAAUAAGCACCGGCUAACUACGUG